rnacentral:rRNA from 1 species
GAGGAGUGGCGAACGGGUGAGUAACACGUGGGUAACCUGCCCAUCAGAAGGGGAUAACACUUGGAAACAGGUGCUAAUACCGUAUAACAAUCGAAACCGCAUGGUUUUGAUUUGAAAGGCGCUUUCGGGUGUCGCUGAUGGAUGGACCCGCGGUGCAUUAGCUAGUUGGUGAGGUAACGGCUCACCAAGGCGACGAUGCAUAGCCGACCUGAGAGGGUGAUCGGCCACAUUGGGACUGAGACACGGCCCAAACUCCUACGGGAGGCAGCAGUAGGGAAUCUUCGGCAAUGGACGAAAGUCUGACCGAGCAACGCCGCGUGAGUGAAGAAGGUUUUCGGAUCGUAAAACUCUGUUGUUAGAGAAGAACAAGGAUGAGAGUAACUGUUCAUCCCUUGACGGUAUCUAACCAGAAAGCCACGGCUAACUACGUGCCAGCAGCCGCGGUAAUACGUAGGUGGCAAGCGUUGUCCGGAUUUAUUGGGCGUAAAGCGAGCGCAGGCGGUUUCUUAAGUCUGAUGUGAAAGCCCCCGGCUCAACCGGGGAGGGUCAUUGGAAACUGGGAGACUUGAGUGCAGAAGAGGAGAGUGGAAUUCCAUGUGUAGCGGUGAAAUGCGUAGAUAUAUGGAGGAACACCAGUGGCGAAGGCGGCUCUCUGGUCUGUAACUGACGCUGAGGCUCGAAAGCGUGGGGAGCAAACAGGAUUAGAUACCCUGGUAGUCCACGCCGUAAACGAUGAGUGCUAAGUGUUGGAGGGUUUCCGCCCUUCAGUGCUGCAGCUAACGCAUUAA